UUUCCCCAAUUAUGUUUAACAAAUCUCCUAAAGCUUCUUCUCUCAUUUUCCUCUUUCUUAGCUAGGUCUUUGUUCAUCUGCCAUUAGAGCUCAUCUGAGCUCGAUUUCAUCUCGUUCAUCUGAGAAUUUGUCAUGGUAUUAGUGCGGAGGUUCUAAUCUCUAGCUUGAUUUCAUUUUUGGUCCACAGAAAUCAAAGUUCGACAUUGUUUAAUUUUGAGGUUUGAAGUCAGCCCAAAUUUAGGAUCGCUACAGAAAUUGGGCGAUUAAGAGUUAUCUGCGCAUACACAUCGACUAGAAUUAUGGCAAUUAAAGAAAACACAUCGAAUUCUCCUAACCCGCUACUCGAUUUAACCAACCCACUUUACAUGCAUCCAUCCGAAAAUGUAGGUUCCAUGCUUGUGCCAAUGCUUUUUGAUGGAUCGAGGUACAAGUCAUGGAGGCGAGGAGUACUUAGGGCUGUUUCUAUGAAGAACAAAGUAGGCUUCAUAAAUGGGAAGUGUGGAAAACCAGACUCAAAGGAUCCCACCUAUGAUUAAUGGGAACAAUGCGAUAAUGUAGUGACCUCGUGGAUUUUAAAUUCUCUCUCAAAGGAUCUGGCAGACAGUCUGCAAUAUGUAAACGAUGCCAAAAAGCUUUGGUAGGAGUUGGAGGACAGAUAUGAUCAAACCAAUGGGGCAAAACUAUAUCAAUUACAGAAAAAAAUCAGCAAUUUGAGUCAAGGAGCACUCGACAUUAUAGGGUACUACACUAAGAUGAAGAAGCUGCGGGAAGAACUGAACACCUUGAAUGCGCAUGCUCAAUGCAAGUUCCAGUGUACAUGUGGUGCCAAGGCAAGUAUGCAGAAAGCUGAGCAAGACAGUAGGUUAAUUCAAUAUCUAAUGGGAUUAAAUGAGGUGUACACUAUUAUGAAGGGAAGCAUCCUGAUGAUGAAUCCCUUACCUUCCUUGGCACAAGCAUUUACCAUUUUCAUCCAAGAGGAGAAGCAAAGGGAGAUGAAGCCAAGUAAUCAAUUGAUGAUUGACUCUACUGCUUUGAGUGUGAACAAGAUAGGAAAUAACAACUUCAGAACGAGUUAUGGUCAACAAGGAAAUGGACCUGGAGGGAGUUUCUACAUAAACUACAACCAGUCGAGUGGCACUGGAGUAAUAGUUUCAGGGAAAUUACUCUACAAAUAGACCUCGACCAAUUUGUGAUUACUGCAAGAGGCCAGGGCACACCAAGGAUAGGUGAUACAAGCAUCAUGGUUAUCCACAAGACCCCAAGUUCAAUAAGGGAAAGUGAGUGGCUGCCAAUGUGUUUGAAGAUUAUGGUUAUAAGGAUACUGGUAUAGGAGUUGAGGAAAAGCUACAAACUCAAGAAGAGGGGCGAGUGAUGAAGAAUCUGACCAAAGAACAAUACAACCAGCUCAUCAGCAUCCUAAAAAAUUUUCAGACUGGAAGUGCAGACGAUAAUUCUGGCAUGAAGGCAGGAGCAGUAAACUUUGCAGGACCCUUCACUGAAGAUGCCUCUGGAAAUUGGUAAGGCUACUAAUGGCCUAUACUAUCACAUUUCAGAUCUCUGCAAGACUGUUGCAGCCCUCACUCAAACUUCUACUCAAAUUCCAUCUAGUAUGUCUGAUAAGAAUAAUAUACACCUUCACUUGCAUCUUGUUCCCCCUGUUUCAUUUAGUUUACCUGUUUUAUUUCAUGCUUGUAAUAAGAGUGGUGUUGAUCCUUAUAAAUACUCCACUGUUAAUACUUCAUCCUUAAGUAGUGAAAAAAAUAUUUCUGUGUCAA